rnacentral:rRNA from 1 species
UACUAUACUGAUGAAUAUUAUUGAAAUCUUAAUUAUUAAUAGAUAUAUUCUUUAAAUUUGAAGAAUUUGGCGGUAAUUUAGUCUUGUUAGAGGAACCUGUUUUUGAAUCGAUACUCCACGCAGAAUCUUACUCAUCUUAAAUAUAAAAGCUUAUAUACCAUCAUUAGCAGAUAAUUUUUAAAAAAUUAAUUAUUAAAGUUUAAAAAUAAAGUUAAUCAAAAUUAGAUCAAGGUGUAGCCUAUAGGUGAGUUAAAAUGGGUUACAAUAAAAUUUAUUUACAACGGAGCAAAUAAUAGGAAGAAACUUUGUAGAAGGAGGAUUUAAUUGUAAUAUAAUUUUAAUAAGUUAAAAAGAUAUAAGCUCUAAAUUAU